rnacentral:tRNA from 1 species
UCCUUUGUAGCUCAGUCGGUAUAAAGAAUCUGCCUGCAGAGCAGGAGACCCAGGUUCAAUCCCCGGGUCAGGAA